rnacentral:rRNA from 1 species
AUGAUAACACCAUUUAAAAGAUUUAUUGGUAAACAUGGGGAUGCGUUCCAUUAGGUAGUAGGCGGGGUAACGGCCCACCUAGCCUGCGAUGGAUAGGGGUUCUGAGAGGAAGGUCCCCCACAUUGGAACUGAGACACGGUCCAAACUCCUACGGGAGGCAGCAGUGAGGAAUAUUGGUCAAAUGGGCGAGAGCCUGAACCAGCCAAGUAGCGUGAAGGAUGAAGGUCCUACGGAUUGUAAACUUCUUUUAUACGGGAAUAAAGUUUCCUACGUGUAGGAUUUUGUAUGUACCGUAUGAAUAAGCAUCGGCUAACUCCGUG